ensembl:lncRNA
CCCCUCCCUCUCUCUCCAGUGCUUUACACUGCAGCAGACUUUAUUAUAGUUUUCAAUGCUCUUCCCUUUGAGGUUCAGCGUGGCUGGACUAUCAUUGCCCUGCCAGACGUAUUUGGGUUGACAUUUUAGUUAAAGGGAGGUUUCUUGCCAGUUUAUUGUGUCUUGUUAUUUGAACUGUAUUGAUGUGGUACUAAUGACAUGUGGCCCAGAAGAUUGUGGACAUUUUAAGGCCUUUGUUUGUCUAUGACCCCCCACCAUUCAUACCCUCUGCACUCCUCCACUGGGAGGUAAUACAGAUUACUGAAAAUCCUCUCAUGUUGAUGACUGGGUUCUUUCUUGUAUAUUAUUUCUAUGAAGUUGCCGUUAAAUUGCUCUGCCAUCAUUAUUGUAUGAGGUAUUAUUGGUGGGGUUCCCCCUGUGCUGUGAUGGGUGUUUUAUAUGGUGA